CUUGGAUUUGAUAGUGUCUUUACACCAGAACAUGACAAAUACCACUUCAACAGAGAUCUCCCUGUGAAGGACUUUUAUUGGUUUUAAAACAAACCUUUCCCUCCCUAUCACAGAGCAACAGCUGCCACUACAUCUUCAGUCCUAAUCUGUGCUCCCUUGUAGCGUCUACUCUGACUAGCCACUGGCAAUGUCAACCUCAUGGGUUUUUCUUGUGUCUUUGGCUUGGGUUUAUGGAGACACCAAAAUGAGAAUAUCUCAGGAUCAACUCUCCUCCACACGCAGACAAGACAGAACAGUGCACAUAAGGUGCAAGCUGUCUGGGGUUCUUCUCGAGAAGACCGUUGUGCACUGGUAUCAACAAAAAGAAGGGAAGCCCCUGAGACGAAUCCUUUAUGGCUCAGCCAAAAAUUACAAGCAAGACAGGCCCAAUCCCCGCUUGGAGGCAGAUGAUAAACAUGAUGGUAUUUUUUACCUGAUCAUUAAUAACGUUGCCAAGUUGGAUGAAGCCACUUACUACUGUGCCUGCUGGGAUCUCACAAUGUCACAGAGUCAGAAGGGACCUGAAAGAAAACCUUCCUAUGACCACCCUCUGACUGCUUUCAUACUCCUGCAACCACAACAGACUCCUAAAUGCUCUUGUUCAUUGGUUCAUAGGCUGUUUGAACAGGGAGGGCUCUUGGAACAUAUUUAGCCCAAUGUCCCCACUUCAAAUGAGGAAACUUGGGGCACAGAGACAGCAAGUGACUUGUCUCAAGCUAGUUAACCACAGAGGUAGGGCCACACUCUUGCAUUUCAGAUUCUCAGUCCAGUGCCUCUUCCUGCCUCUCUUGUGGUCUGUGUUGAACUUCUUACAGCAGAAUCACAUUUCUUUCAAAAGGGAACUGCGACAACUUCCCUAUGCAUCGUCUUCCUCAGUGGUACCCCUAGGCCCCAGUGAAGUCUGGUAUCGGCCAAACAUGUAACUACCACACUGCUGAGAAGGGGACAAAGGUCAGCAGGGAUGGACUCCACGCUCCAUCUACCCAUGUUGUCUUCCCAUAGCUAUUUACUGCCCUUUGUUUCUAUAGCUUCCUAUCUAUUCUGAAAUCCCUACUAAUCAGAGCAGUUUCCCUGGUAUGCCCAUCACACAUAUGGGCAAGUGGGAAGUAGAGAUUAGCUUUUCUUCUGACUACAUUAGUAAAUUCUUAUAAUAGAAGUGCCUGCUGAACCAAGGCUGGAAUUUCCUACUCUUCACUCUGAAACCUAGAACCAAUCCCAAUUGGCUGGCCACACACUUGUUUCAAAUUGGGUAGCCCUGGCUUGCUUUCUGCUCUCUUAGAGUGACCUAGGACUUGUUCAUGUCCAAGGCCUUACCAGCCACACCUAGAAAAUAGCAAGAACAAUAGUAGUAGCCAUAUCUAUACCAUUACGUUAUAGCUCGGUACCUCUCUUUUUGAAUGUCUGACAAGUAGCCAAAAAAUUAUUGAUUCCAGUUCCACUCCCUUCCCCCAAUCUCCAAGCAUGUAUUAUUUUCCUCACCAGACUUUCCUAUUGCAGUAAAUGGCAACAGUAUAUUGUAUCAUCUGAUGCAAUGGCAAGGGUUUUUUCUCAAGCAGAUAGUGUUUUGUUGACUUCCAUGUUUUUUUUGUUUCUCCUGGUAAUGAGAGAAAAGUGAGGAGACCCAACUAUUAUUGAGUUUCCUGUGAUAUGAGAUCUGAAGGGAGGUUAUAGGAGCUCUGGAAACUGUGGUUUUACCUGCCAGAGAGACAUCCACAAACCAGGCCCAACCCUGUGUGGCCCAAUCUGAGACUGGAGUAGGCUGUCUCAACAGAGCCCCGGACCGAAACACUACGGACCCAAUGUAGAGAACACCUCGUCUUCUAACUUACUGCAGAUUUAGAAACUCUUUGUAUUCCCCCUGACAUGUGCAGGGCAACAGGCCAGCCAUGACAGCAAUGAUUGAUUGUCAUUCUGAAAUGCAUGGCUCAAAUGGCCUCAUAGAUGUUAUAAUCUCCUGGUGUCACUGAAAGACAAAUACAAAGAAAGUAAAUUGUGAGAUAUAAUUUGAUAUUCAGAUUCAACUAGUCCCACUCCUCACAGAUUAUUUUGCUAGGUGCUGGCACUGCCUACUCAUUGCUUUUUAGAAUAUGCAAAUCAGACAUUUCAUCUACUUUUUAUUUCAUUUCAUACGUUCUGUGCUUCCUAGAAAGCAAUACCCAGCAUCUUUUAUAUGGCCAUUUGAGAUACAGAUUCUCUGUGUUAUACAGACCUAGACUAUACCUGGGAACUGCGCUCCUUACACAUAUCUUUCCAACUGUGAAGUAAUUGAUGAACAGGGUUUGGGAUCCGGAAAAUUUGCACUGAAAUCCUGGCUCAGUUUGAACUCCCUAAUUCUGUUUCCUCACAUGCCUUUAAUAGUAAUAACCAUUUAUAGGGUAAAGUAGAAAGAGAGAAAUGCAUAAUUGGUGUCUGACUCACGGUAGACACUAUAUUUAUGAGUUUUCUUUUCUUUCACUAUCAAAAAGCACAGGGCCAUGGAUUGUCAUCCUGAAGCAGGGGGAAGGGAAACGAAAAGGAGAUUUGGGGCUUAGAGUAGAAUAUUAAUUUCCCAAGACAUUCCUCCAGACAAGAGUCUUUUUAUGCAAACAUUUCUUGUUUGUCAAAAAGAAACAAGUGUUUUACCAGACAUGUUGCUUGUGGGAGCAAUAUCAGUUGAAAAGUGUCUAUAAUAUGCAUAGUGGCAUGUUAAAUACCCCAAGUGCAAAAGAAACCCUAAAAGACUAAAUCAUUGGGUUAAGAAUGAAGGCAAGUGGUACAAUUGCUAAAAGGGAGACUGAUUGAUAGUGCAGUGACCUGGCCUCCCCCAAACACUGCCCCAGUGUUUUCAGAAACAAGUGAGGAUCCACUGGACUAUAUCGUAAUAUAUCUGAUAUCAUCUAAGUGAUGAUAUAUGUGAAAUCAAAUUAUGCUAAUUUAUGAAAGUUAGUGGUCCACAGAUGGUCAGUAUGUGAUUUUUUUUUAUCUCUUGUACAUGUCAGAUAAUGUGUUUAUUUCGCUUCAGACAGUGGUCUCUCUCGGAAGCGUCUUAACUUACUUCUGUACCUGAUUUAAUUAAGAUCCAUUAAAAUUUCUAAAAGACAAACCAAUGUGAAAAAUAGUGCAAAUUAUUAUUUUGGUUCAUGUUGGCCACCAAAACCUGAUAUGAAAUGUGAGAUAUGUCUUCAUAUCUUUUGAUGGCCAAACAAAUUUGGUUGAAGCUGUUCUCUAUGAAAGUUAUUAUCAUCAAACUUGAAAAAGUGAUGCAAAACUUCAGGCAAUGCAGUGCCAACUUGUGCUUUACCUCACUAGACUUAAUUGUUAUUUAUGUAUUUAUUCAUUCAUAACCCAUCUUCUUGGAAGCAGGAUUUAAGUUGCCUCAGUUUGUUAGCUCAAGACAUGACAAAUGUGGUGGGGAGGAUGUGUGUGUUCCAAAAUAUAGGGUUAGAGGCAAAAUUGCUCAUCUUUAUACACAUUCAUUCAGGUUUCAUUUUAUGCCUUUAGUAGAACUGAACGUUAUGGUCUUCACAUAGUUUUUCUUUUUUGUAAACUUAAUAAAAAAUGUUAUAAUUCAUUACUUACA
ensembl:lncRNA